CCUGCCUUGGGGCCAGCCGACUAUGGACUGAAACCCCUACAAACUGUGAGCCAAAAUAAACCUUUCCUCCUUUAACUUAUUUUACAGCUGGAAGAUAAGCUGGGGCGACUUUGACUUUCCUGUGUCUCCAUCUCAGCAGUCCGUGUCUUCUGGACAAGAUUUACAGAGCUCUGCUUAUUUGGAUGAAAAAUAGAGAGAGACAAGCUGUCAGUAUAAGGUUGUUACAGAAAAUGUAAAGUAUGCUCAAAAUGAAAAGAGAUGCAGAAUACAAUAAGAACCAGAUCUUUCAGAAGUGCUAACAGAAUCUGUGGCUUUAUGGAGAGAAACAUACUCUGGAAAACUGCUGCUCAGCAAGAAAAGGAUAGAGAGAUACAAUCCCAAUCUCUCAAAACUCUCUCACUUGGAUCUCCUGAUGUUGCAUUGGCAUUGAUGUUUUUUCCUCAACUGAAACAGAAACCACAGAUAGGCAAAGUGUGGUUGUUUUACAGUUAGCAGUUCUGAGCUUUAAUGUCAGCAGCUGUUAGAUCUUAGUAUUAGAUACUCUCCACACUUUCCUGGCAGCUGGAGCCAGAGGCUACCAAUAGCCCUCAGGAACCCUUCUGGCAAUCAGAGGUGCUGGCUCUCAGCAGUUCCUCAAAAUUCUCCACCAUUUUCUGGCUUUUAGUGUUUCCAGACUCAGCUGAUGGCUGCUUUUGGUUCCAGUGGUCUUUGGUAUUACGAGCUCUUAGUUAACCAGCUUAGCUUGCUUUGAUUGAGAUACAAAUCCCAAAUAGGCAGAUAACUUCUCCCAUGUCAUGAAAUUCCAACCUAGUAGUGAAAGCAUCUCUCACUUUGCUUAUGAAAUAUAUCACCUAACAGAGGCUUUAUUGGGGCUUAUGCACAAGAAGGAAAGUAUAUGGCUGACUUGACAGAGGGUAUGAGGAUGUCAGUUGUAUAGAAGAAAAAGCAAGCUCAGGCAUGCAGUGUCCUGCCAGCUAAUUAUAGACCUUCCUAGUCUUGAGUACAGAGGAUCUUCUUGAGGAUUAUGUUGAAAGAGGUGGAGUCAUCCAGAGAGGUUCUAGGUGGAGUCAUCUGGGAUGGACCUGUGGUUUUAU
ensembl:lncRNA